UUUUUAGUAAAAGGAAUUCCAUCAGUUCAUUUGGAGUCUGAUCAAUGCUGGGCGAACAGAUUAAAUUCUCUUUAGAGUAGCAAAUCUUAGGACUAUAAGCUGAAGUAGAACUAGAAAGUCCAGCCAUACCUAAGUCCAAGCUAGCCACUCUGGUCCUUUUCUCUGUUGUAUUCCAUUAAAGACCCUGAUAUCUGGGACUAGAGUUCCUGAGCACUCUAUACCCAUGACCUGGUCUGGAAGCAGCUCUUCUUAGCUGUCCUAUCAUGCCACAGUAACUCCGGGUCUCUGAGACAAGUGUCCUGAAACUCUUGAGUUCUCACAUGCCCUUUCAUCUUUCCCUCUUUUUUGAUCAAUCCAACCAAUUCAUGGCUUCCUGUUGAAUGUUAUUUUAUAAUAAUAUGGUUUAUGUUAUUAACACUCUUUAAUGUUAUUCAAGCCCAUCUUCUAUCAUGUCAUUGCUUAAAAAGCCUCAACAGUUCCUUAGGGUCAAGCCCACUGUGUGUGAGCUUCUUAACUGGGCAUUUAGAAUCCUCUCCAAUAUCCUCCACUACCUAUGAUUUAUAUUUUAGCCAAAAUGGACCCUUUAUAAUCUUGAACUUCAUUGCAUGUCUGCACUUCUAUACCAGUGCUGAAUCCCAAACUGAAAUCUGGUUCAUAUUUCAUGAAACAGCUGGUUUUUACACCCACAUCUUGAAAUCUCUUUCUAUUCCCUCACCUAGAUACAAACUCUUCAAGGGGCCAGUAGAGUAUAGUGGCUAAAAUCUUGGAUUCUAAAACCCAGCUGUCAAGGUUCAAAUCCCAGCCACACCAUGUGCUGACUGUGAGAUCAUAUACAAGUCUCUUUUCACUUCACAUCUGUUUCCUUAUCUGGAAAAUCAAGAAUAUUAAUCAGAUAUUAAAUGAGAUAAUAUACAUUUAAUCUAGUCCGUGGAACCCUGUAAGCAUGCAGCAACUGCGAGCUAUUAUGGCAGAUGCUGUUGCUAGCCCACCCACAUCCUCUUGGUAUUUGUCUCUACAUUCUCAACCUGUUUAUAGAAAACAUUCGUGACUCUCUGUAGUCAAGAUAGCAUGCUCAGCUCUCAUACAGGGCAGAGCAGAAGUUUCUGAGAUGUAAUCAGUCUCCCAAGAAGCGACACUCAGACAAUGACCAAUGGAGAGUCAGUGGAUGAAUACCCCUUGUUAGGAAUAACUCUGAACCCUAUUCUAGAGUGUGGACAGCAUAGAAUCUCUUAUUGUCUCCCAGACUUCCCCAGCAGGCUGUAACAUCAGUUGCCCGCAAUGGUAAUUGGCUUGGCAGAUACCUUCUGUCAGCUCCUUUGCCUUCCCUAACUUACUCUCCACUCUCUUUUAUGUAUUUCCUGGGAUCGUUUCCCAAAACUACUUGGAUUCUUGUCUCCGGGUUGGCUUCUGGAGGACUCUAAAACCAUAACUGCUCUUAUCACUACAGCUGACUUCUUUGAAACCAUGAAAAUACUGCUUUAUUUGCAUUCGUCUUCUGCUAGUUAGAGUCUACCUUCAUAAAACCUAAAAUCCAACAAAAAAUUAAGACCAAAAUACAAAUAUUUCUCACAGUACCUCUCACAUAGAAGUUACUCAAUCUGUAUUUAGAGAGCAAAGAAUAAUGGGAGAUCAAAAGAUUACUCUGUGACUAUAAAAAUAGAGCGAGGACUAUUGAUUGGUUACUAAGAAUAUUUUACAAACUUUUAUGGUUUGACACACCCUUUUAAUGGUGGUAUGUCUACCUAAUAUAUCUGCACCUUCCCAAAAUCCCCUCCCCUCGAUGUCAGCAUCAGGACUCCCCUCCUCCUCUAGCUAGAUUUGAGAGACACUUGCCAUUAUCUCAUCAUUAUUUUAUCAUGUUAAUGUACUUGUGUAACCUUUUAUAUUUUCUAAAUAUGAAAAAUAUUUUACAGAGAUUACAUUUGACGCAGCUGCUUCCUGAAGACCUAGAGAUCACUUUAAUCUUACAAGCACAUUCUUCAGAUUGUCGUGUGGGUGGGUAACUUCCGCCAGACUUUUCUGGAGAUGGCUAAUCCAGCCGUGGGAUGUGGUUUCUUCUAACAGCCAGUCAGGAAAAUCUUGCUUCUCAAACUCCUGUCUUGACCCCUUCCUGAACUUUGCCUCCUGGAUCUUGAGGUCUGCCUUCUGUGGAAGAGAAAUACUAGAAUCAAUGAACUGUGAACUAGAGCCCUGGGAUUAUCAACAGCUGAAAUUUUGAGAGCCACCUUAUAGAAAGCCUAACAGCAAAGACUGGAGAGAGGCUUCCAGCCAACAGCCAGCAAGGAAUUGAAGCCCUCAGUCCAAUAGCAGUGAGGAAUUGAAUCCUGCCAACAGCCUCGUGGAUGGGUUGCUUGCUGCCUGAAUCUAACUCCUGCUACUACUGCAAAUACCACUGCCAUGAAUAUCCUCAGCAAGACCCCCUUCCAGACCUGCAUGAACAACCGACUGCUUCAUGCUGGGCUUCAGACAUGAGAGGCUAGGAGUAGGAGGCAUGCCUUGUUCAAAGUAACUCCUCCAGGGGACAGCAGCAUCUCUUCUGACUCUUUGCUUCCAUGUCUUGAGGAAGCAGCCUCCUGCCUAUGGCCAUCUGAGGAAGCCAUCUUGGAAGCAGACCCCUCAGCCCCAGUCAAGCCUUCAGAUGACUGAAGUCUCAGCUGACAUCUUGACUUUAAUUUAAAAAAAAAAAAAAAAAAAAAAAAACAAACAAACAAACAAAAAAAAACUCCAAGCCAGAACUACCCCCAACUGGAAUUUGAGAGCUGCUUUCAAAUCCUGACCCAUAGAAACUUAGAUAAUAAAUGUUUGUUGUUUUAAGCCACUCAUUUUUAGAGAAAUUUGUUAUGCAGCAAUAGCUAGCUAAUACAGAGAAUUAACCAGCCUCUCUUAAAUUACCACCACAAAAUCAACUACCUAUUUUAUUAAAAGGUAAAACCAGCUGCUGAAGAACGUUUUUCCUCUCAAGGCUUUGGCACUUAAGAUUCAACAGUAAGAAGGAUUGAAGAGUGAAGGCUUCCUGGCUACCCCGUGGCAUCCUGUGUUUGGUUUGAAGCGUGAUAAGCCUGGGUUGCUCUUCCAGUCCACCUUGUAAGAGACUGAUGUGGAAAAAUGUGUCUCUUCUCAAGGGCUAACUCUGGAAGCUUGGGAAAAUAUUCUAGAUUUGGAUCACAUUAAAAUGGGUAUUAGACCUAGGUUCUAGUUCCAUCUCUAAGAUCUGGAUAUGUCAAAAUCCUUUUCCCUUUGUAGGUUUUAAGUUUGGCCUCUUUAAAUAAAGAAACAAUCACCCAUGCUUUGUCUUUUAACUUGCUACUUAAAACAAGGAGCUGAAGACACUGGCCAUCAUCAAAUAACUAAUGGACAAUUCCCACUGCCUCGCUGAAAUUUGCAGUCUGACUCUCAUCAUCUCUUGCCUUUUUUUUUUUGCUUUGGCUGUGUUUGUGAAACUGCCUUUGCAAAGAUUAUGAGAGGGAGUCUAGCAUGGCCAACUCCAUCUUGCUUCUAGCCUCAUGGGCUGGCUUCCCUUGCUCAUUCCUAGCCAUAGGCCAAGCUAACCAUGGGAGGAAUUUAGUUUAUAGUUUAACUUUGAAGCAAAGAUGAUACUAUUUUAUCCCUAAAACAGAUCCCUUCCUUGUUCGGGUUCUGAAACCACCUUUGUAAGACUAAUGAAAAGCCACAAGAUUAGGAUUAUGGAAAGGGCCUGAAUCCUGCUCAAAUGGAGGCAUCAUUUCUAUACUUCCUUACUGCUCAGGAGUUAUGUGGCCAAAUGGCACAGAGUUGUGACUUCCUCAAUUGCUCCUGUGGAUAACAUCACUAUUGUAGAACCUAAGGCUGGUCUUUUGAGCUGUUUUUCAGAUUUUUGCAUUCUGGCAACUGAGUGAUGCCUCCCAGACUCAUGACUCAACCAGUCCUAUGGCCUCCACCCAGAGGUGGACUCAGCACAUGAGGACUGUUUUCCUCGCACUUCUGUGAUCUCAUCCCUAACCAAUCAGUAGCACUCAUUCCCUAGCUCCCUGCCCACCAAAUUUUCCAUAAAAAGCCUAGCCUCUGAGCUCUUGGGGAGAUUGACUUGAGUGAUAAACUCCAGUUCUUCUCUAUGGCCAGUCUUGUAUUAAUUAAACUCUUUCUUUACUGCAAUACCAUGGUCUCAGUGAAUGGUUUGAUCUGUGCAGCAUGCAGGAAAAACUCAUCAAUCAAUUACAUUUGUCACUAAGUCCUCUCAGCUGGAGACUCAUCAAUGAUAUUAAAUUUUAAAAAACUACCAAGCGAAUACAAUUCAAGUGGAAGCUCACCUGUGGAGCAAUGGGAACACACUGUUAUUCAACAGGGCUGAAGUCUGAAUCAGAUGCCCGGAGGAGAUACGUUGUCUUGGCUUUGCCACUCACUGGCUAUGUGAUCUUGGAUAAGUCACCUCACUCCUCUUGAUCUCAGCUCCCUCUUCUUUAAGAAAAAAAAUAAAGUAGUGAUAAUUUUAAUAGUCAACAUUUACUGACUGUAAUCUAAAAAUGGGGUUAAGUAAAUUGCAUGCAUUACCUUUAACACAACUGUGACAUAGGAAUUAUUGUAACAUAAACAGCCUCAUAAAAUCUGUAUUUUACAGAUAAGGAAACUAAGUUUCAGAGAUAAUAAGUGGUGGAGCCGGAUUCAAACCCAAGUUCUUAACCACCAAGAUCAUAGCAAUUAUAAAUCAGUUUCAGCUUGAAUUUGAACUCUCUGGAUGCUAGGAUUCAGAAGAGAUGUGACAUCUGUGAAGAACUGAUGGUGUCAGUCUGCCAGGCAUUUAGUUAUAUGAGGAACCCAGAGUGAGGUUAGCAUCAGGGAGUCACUGGUUCUAGAGCAGAGGGAAGAUUCUAUUUACUUUUGAUGUUGGUCACUACAAAGUUAUGGUGCCAGCAAGAGAGCAAAGUAAAAACAAAAAGGCCUGGGAUAUUAGUAUGCAGGUCAUCUGGAGAAUUGGUGCCAGCAUCUUCUGUAGUAAUUGAUGAGGAUGCCCCAUCAUUGACAUCAACGACGUUGACAGUGGACACUGGCAGGAAUUGAAUGCCUUGAGCAGACACCAGUCACAGUGUCGGCAGUGGCUGGGAGUCAUUACCCCCAAUGUGCCACGGCCGGAGGGGAUAAAUGCAGCAGAUGUCACAUGGCAGCCCAGAGGAGCAGUUUGCAGAGCACAUGUGAGAAACCCUCUGAGGAUACCCAGGAGACACCACGGGAGACAGAAACCCAGGACUGUACUUGAAUGAAAUUCGAGAGAGAGCUUACAUUUCUAUAGAACAGAAGUGUAUCUUCCUGAAGAAAUUUUGUGUUUGCUCUUGAGAUCCUAUUUUUACCCUCAGACUUGGGUGGUCUGAAAAAUGUAGGUUACUGAUGAGAUGGAAGGGUGCGACUCCACAGUGCUCUGCAAGGGUCUUUCACUUUGCCUCAUGAUUCCCAGAAUUACAGCAUUUCAAACUCCAUUGACAGAAACACCAGGGCUGGCAAAUGCAGUGCAGAUCCAUUGGUGAGUCUUGAAAGGAUUUCUGAUGCUAAUUUGUUGCCCUUGGGACUAACUGGAGUUAAAUUAUGAUUAUUCCUAAUGUGGUGGUCCCAGUACUGUUUGGCGAGGAACGUGAAUACUUUCUCUAACUGGCCACAGUGCUCUCCAGGGAAAGAUGUUUGAUCUGGGGCACUGAGGCAUUCUUCCCUGCUGAUUGUUGGGAAAUGCAGCUCCUCUGUGGAAAGGGGCUUUGCUGCCAUCGUAUUGAG
rnacentral:lncRNA from 1 species